AGGGAAGAGCCCAAGUUUGAAAGCUGGCGUCUUCGGCGUCCGCAUUGUAAACUCGAGAAGCGUUUUCCGCGCCGGACCAAGCUCAAGUCCCUUGGAAUAGGGCAUCAUAGAGGGUGAGAGUCCCGUACUUGGCUUGGAGUCCCCGGGGCUUUGUGAUACGCUCUCCAA
rnacentral:rRNA from 1 species